CCCUUCGAUGUUCUGGGCCGCACGCGUGCUACACUGAGUGGAUCAGCGGGUCAGGUUGCGCGAAAGCGUUUCCUAAUCUUUAAAUCCGCUCGUGAUGGGGAUUGACGGUUGCAAUUUUCUGUCAUGAACGAGGAAUACCUUGUAAGCGCGGGUCAUCAUCCCGCGCUGAAUACGUCCCUGCCCUUUGUACACACCGCCCGUCGCUCCUACCGAUUGAGUGGUCCGGUGAGGCUUUGGGAUCUGAGCGGAAAGAGCGUUUCGCUGUUUCUGCUCGGAAAACUCAGUCGAACCUUAUCAUUUAGAGGAAGGAGAAGUCGUAACA
rnacentral:rRNA from 1 species